rnacentral:lncRNA from 1 species
GUGCGCACUGCGCCUGCGUGCGGGGGCCGGCCGGCGCGCCUGCGUGCGCUUCUCCGCCGCCUGCCGCAGGGGCUGCCGGGAAGCGGAGUCUCCGAGCGUGGACGCCCUAGGCUAGCGGCGGCCAGGGAAAAGGCGGCGGCCAGGGCGUGGGUCUCUGCGGACCAGGUUGGCAGUCAGUAAAAGCGCAGACAUAUAGAAGUUAUGGAAACAAACUUGUCCUUACUAAGCUCUUCCAGAAUGGACGGAUUCCCCCUCACAUCAAUAUAGCUUCCCUCUCACAUGAGCGGUGGCUUCAAAGGAACACUUUAAGACAGCAAGUAGAGGUCACAGGAAAAUCACAACCACAGGACACGGUUUAACAAGUCAGUUUAAAAGGAAUACUGAGGAGCACCGGACAUGAAUCUGUAGAACCCCCGAAGGGAGACCCUCACUCAAGUCUCAGGGAUCGCGAGCCCAGAAAGCCACAGUCACGCUUGCUGCAAACACACGAGGUUUUUAAUGGCACACAAACCAGCAUGCUGAGGUCGAGACCCAUACACCACGCAGGGGUAGAGGAGCAGAAUUCACCAAGCGUUGGAUUGUUCACCCACUAAUAGGGAACGUGAGCUGGGUUUAGACCGUCGUGAGACAUUCUCCACUAAGAGUGUGCUUGUUUACAUGGAAGCUGAAUUUGAGCAAAGCAGCUUGGGAGAAAGUGUUCUAUCAGAGAGACUUAGGGGUUAGUGUUGCCAAUUUGACCCAAGCUAGAAUCCUCUGGAAAGAGGGGACCUCAAUUGAGAAAAUGCUUCCAGGAGAUACAGUUUUAAGGAAUUUUCUUAAUUAGUGAUUGCUAGGGAAGGGCUCAGCCCAUUGUGGAUGGUACCAUCACUGGGCUGGUGGUUCUGGAUUCUAUAAGAAAGAAGUGUACUAAGCCAGGAGGAGCAAGCCAGUAAGCAGCAUCCCUCCAUGGCCUCUGUAUCAACCCGCUGGAGUUCCUGUCCUGGCUUCCUUCAAUGACUGCCUGACCAUAGCUGAGCUGAUAUCUGAUCAUUAUAUUCUGCUCAGGAGAAGAGGGCAUCAGAUACUACAACCUGGCCAUCAGCCCCCCCCCCCAUGCCUGCUUUCUCUCCGUGGACCCCACUUUUCUGUCUCCUCCUCUGCACAGCAUCUCAAUGAAUUAGCCUGAGAGCUGUACCCAAUAAACCUGCCUUUAUAUACUUGAUAAGAACCCAGCCAGCCACCUGAGAUUUCUGGACUGCCUCUCCAUGCAAAGAAGGCAUUCACCGAACUUUAAACCCCAGCCAAUUACUUUCACUUUUCUAUAAACUCCUUUCUUACUCUCCAAAAUCCAUAUAUAGCCCUGGUUCACUCUGAAUAAAAUGUACGUGUACAAGCCUACCCUAAAUAAAGGUAUGUAUACAAGUCAGGAUUGUCUAAGAGAGCUGUUUCAUUGAAGAUGGACAGAGAAGGCCUUUGGCUAAAAGAGCUAUAUAACACUAAGACCAUCAGAGUGCUCCCCCCCCUCCAC